AGGCCUAACACAUGCAAGUCGAACGGCAGCACGGGAGCUUGCUCCUGGUGGCGAGUGGCGAACGGGUGAGUAAUGUAUCGGAACGUACCCCGUCGUGGGGGAUAACUCUCCGAAAGGAGAGCUAAUACCGCAUACGACCCGAGGGUGAAAGCGGGGGACCCGGGGUAACCUGGGCCUCGCGCGAUGGGAGCGGCCGAUAUCGGAUUAGCUAGUUGGUGGGGUAAGGGCCUACCAAGGCGACGAUCCGUAGCGGGUCUGAGAGGACGACCCGCCACACUGGAACUGAGACACGGUCCAGACUCCUACGGGAGGCAGCAGUGGGGAAUUUUGGACAAUGGGCGCAAGCCUGAUCCAGCCAUUCCGCGUGAGUGAAGAAGGCCUUCGGGUUGUAAAGCUCUUUCAGCGGGAACGAAACGGUGGGUCUUAAUACGGCCUGCUAAUGACGGUACCUGCAGAAGAAGCACCGGCUAACUACGUGCCAGCAGCCGCGGUAAUACGUAGGGUGCGAGCGUUAAUCGGAAUUACUGGGCGUAAAGCGUGCGCAGGCGGCGACAUAAGACAGAUGUGAAAUCCCCGGGCUCAACCUGGGAACGGCGUUUGUGACUGUGUGGCUAGAGUGUAGCAGAGGGGGGUGGAAUUCCACGUGUAGCAGUGAAAUGCGUAGAGAUGUGGAGGAACACCGAUGGCGAAGGCAGCCCCCUGGGUUAACACUGACGCUCAUGCACGAAAGCGUGGGGAGCAAACAGGAUUAGAUACCCUGGUAGUCCACGCCCUAAACGAUGCCAACUAGGUGUUGGGGGGAGGAGACUUCCUUAGUACCGUAGCUAACGCGUGAAGUUGGCCGCCUGGGGAGUACGGUCGCAAGAUUAAAACUCAAAGGAAUUGACGGGGACCCGCACAAGCGGUGGAUGAUGUGGAUUAAUUCGAUGCAACGCGAAAAACCUUACCUACCCUUGACAUGUCCGGAAUCCCGAAGAGACUUGGGAGUGCUCGAAAGAGAGCCGGAACACAGGUGCUGCAUGGCUGUCGUCAGCUCGUGUCGUGAGAUGUUGGGUUAAGUCCCGCAACGAGCGCAACCCUUAUCAUUAGUUGCCAUCAUUGAGUUGGGCACACUAAUGAGACUGCCGGUGACAAACCGGAGGAAGGUGGGGAUGACGUCAAGUCCUCAUGGCCCUUAUGGGUAGGGCUUCACACGUCAUACAAUGGUCGGUACAGAGGGUUGCCAACCCGCGAGGGGGAGCUAAUCUCACAAAGCCGAUCGUAGUCCGGAUCGCAGUCUGCAACUCGACUGCGUGAAGUCGGAAUCGCUAGUAAUCGUGGAUCAGCAUGUCACGGUGAAUACGUUCCCGGGCCUUGUACACACCGCCC
rnacentral:rRNA from 1 species